UUUUAAAGCAAUACUUACUACCACGAAUAACACCAAUAUAUCACCACUACGCAAAUCUUCUUCGUGAGAGUCCUAAAGCAUUGGAUAUGAAGCCAUUCAUCAAACAUGAUGUAGAGGCAAUUCUUAGAACAGCAUGCUGGUUUGGACUUCGCGACUGUUUAAACCUAGCUUCUGAAUUCUUCAACGAGUGGAUGAACAAUUCCAAACAUGAGGUUCCUGUUUGUUUUAGCUCAACUAUUUGUUGCUAUGGCAUUUGGAUGGGGAAUGAGGAAGAAUGGGAAUUUUUAUGGAAAAUUUUUAAAAAGAAUGAGACUGAAGA